rnacentral:rRNA from 1 species
AGCGAACGCUGGCGGCAGGCCUAACACAUGCAAGUCGAGCGGCAGCGGGGGAAAGCUUGCUUUCCCGCCGGCGAGCGGCGGACGGGUGAGUAAUGUCUGGGAAACUGCCUGAUGGAGGGGGAUAACUACUGGAAACGGUAGCUAAUACCGCAUAACGUCUUCGGACCAAAGUGGGGGACCUUCGGGCCUCAUGCCAUCAGAUGUGCCCAGAUGGGAUUAGCUAGUAGGUGGGGUAACGGCUCACCUAGGCGACGAGCCCUAGCUGGGCUGAGAGGAGGACAAGCCACACUGGAACUGAGACACGGUCCAGACUCCUACGGGAGGCAGCAGUGGGGAAUAUUGCACAAUGGGCGCAAGCCUGAUGCAGCCAUGCCGCGUGUAUGAAGAAGGCCUUCGGGUUGUAAAGUACUUUCAGCGGGGAGGAAGGUGUUGUGGUUAAUAACCGCAGCAAUUGACGUUACCCGCAGAAGAAGCACCGGCUAACUCCGUGCCAGCCGCCGCGGUAA